CCUACGGGAGGCAGCAGUGAGGAAUAUUGGUCAAUGGACGAGAGUCUGAACCAGCCAAGUCGCGUGAAGGAUGACUGCCCUAUGGGUUGUAAACCUCUUUUAUCGGGGAGCAAAAUGUUUCACGUGUGAGACAUUGUAUGUACCCUAAGAAUAAGCAUCGGCUAACUCCGUGCCAGCAGCCGCGGUAAUACGGAGGAUCCGAGCGUUAUCCGGAUUUAUUGGGGUUAAAGGGAGCGUAGGGGGAUGGUUCAGUCAGGUGUGAAAGUUUGCGGCUCAAACGCAAAAUUGCAGUUGAAACUGGAAGGCUUGAGUACAGUAGAGGUGGGCGGAAUUCGUGGUGUAGCGGUGAAAUGCUUAGAUAUCACGAAGAACUCCGAUUGCGAAGGCAGCUCACUGGAGUGCAACUGACACUGAGGCACGAAAGUGUGGGUAUCAAACAGGAUUAGAUACCCCGGUAGUC
rnacentral:rRNA from 1 species